rnacentral:rRNA from 1 species
UACAGAGGGGGCAAGCGUUGUUCGGAAUUACUGGGCGUAAAGGGCGCGUAGGUGGCCAACUAAGUCAGACGUGAAAUCCCUCGGCUUAACCGGGGAACUGCGUCUGAUACUGGAUGGCUUGAGUUUGGGAGAGGGACGCGGAAUUCCAGGUGUAGCGGUGAAAUGCGUAGAUAUCUGGAGGAACACCGGUGGCGAAGGCGGCGUCCUGGACCAAUACGGACACUGAAACGCGAAAGCCAGGGGAGCAAACGGG